UAUGUACACCCGUCCGUGGGGUUAGAGUAGCCGUGUGGAAGGCGAGCUCUGAGCCAGCACCACCGACAUACAUAGAGCUACAAAUUCACCAGUGCAUGCUGUUCUGGGGGAUUAUGUGACUGUGUGUGUGUUUUUCAUACAGUAACUUUGGCCCGAUGCAUGAAGAUGGAAACGAGAGGCUGCUGGAAACGACACUCUUUCUACUGAAAAUUAAUUCCAAGGGGAGGAAUGGACUGAUGCUGGAUGGGUGGAUGACAGAAGAAGGAGGAUGGAGAGGGAGAAGGACUUGUGCAGCGAACCAUUGCAUCUGCAUCCAUCUUAAUCAGCAGUAGAAAAAAGGUUGUGCGCACUGUUGCACGCUCCUUGCUCACAAAAAUGCCCACACAAGUAAAUACACUGACAAAUAUUAACUGUCUGUAAUAAAGAAACAUGCUUCUGUUGGAGCAGUGUAACGUACGUGACUAUAAAUGUGUCUUUUGGAGUCUGUCUUUGUUACGGCAGGCACAGAGUUAGUUUAUAUCCACAUGUUGUCUGAAAUUAUUGUUAUUCAUGACUGAAGACGUCCUCCUGCCUCCUACUGCAUUAGCAUUAAUAUUUACAUGAUCAUUUCAGCACAUUCCUCUCUGUGGCUAAUCUCUCUACAGCUUCUUACAGAUUGCUGCAUUACACAAAGAAAUUUACAAGAUGCACUAAAACAAGCUUGAUUUAUGGAGGCCUCACCCAGACCAGCUGCCAGCUACCCAGCUGGGGUGCAACCAGACAUCACAUGACAUUUACUGCAUCCAUGCUAUGAAGGAUGAAAGCUGUUUUAGGCAGAUAGUUGUGAUGCUUUGGCUGACAGGUGCAAUGAGCUGUUUGGUUUUUUUGUUAUUUUUUUUGUCAGAAUAAUAAAUAAAAGGAUCAUGAAACAGGGGGCAGCGCGGGUGUAAUGCUACCUAUAACAUGCUAUAACUAUACUUUACUCCCUUACAUGUAUUGCAUGACAUGAUGCUGUAGAGGUAAGAUAGUAUACUAUUUCUCGGGCUAUCUAAGUAACUGGUUCAGUUUGUGGAACAUAUCAUAUCAUUGUAACCAGCAAACAGUAUGCCAACACACACUGACAACACUGAAGCAUCGUGGGCCAUACACGGACCAGUGAAACUCUCCUUUCUGCAAAUGCAAGAAAUCUGUCAGCAUGACUCUCUUAAAUGAUAAGAAAUGGAAAAGGUUUUGUUAAGUCUCUGCCCAGACUGCAGACCCUCUAUAAAAAACAUCCUCUAUUAAUGUAAAGAGUAAAAAACUCAGGAAAUGUCAUGUUAUUUAAAUGUUUAUCUGUUACUUUGCUGUAGUAUGAAUGGCCAGAGAUGACGUCUUUGUCAUAAGGAAAGCUUUAGUUCACAUUUUCCAAAGCCAUGUAGUGGGCCAGAUUGGAGUCUUUGGUGGCCACCAAUGACAGGAGGAACCCUCUCUGUGACUGAUUUCACCUAGCAACAGCUUGCAACCACUUACCAAACAU